AGGUAAUGCCUACCGCACCUCUAUCACUGUAGGCACUCGGUUAUACUGUGGGUUCGACAGCGGACCUUAGACGUAAAUCGUCGAUGGUAUAGUGUGAGGCGGGGUUUAAUGCCCU
rfam:Paenibacillaceae bacterium GAS479 genome assembly, chromosome: I